AGAGUUUGAUCAUGGCUCAGAAUGAACGCUGGCGGCGUGCUUAAUACAUGCAAGUCGAACGGAAUCCAAGGAGCUUGCUCCUGAAGAUUUAGUGGCGAACGGGUGAGUAUCACGUGAGCAACCUGCCCCGAAGAUCGGGAUAACACCGGGAAACCGGUGCUAAUACCGAAUACCCUCUACUUAUCGCAUGGUAGGUCGAGGAAAUGUUUUUCGCUUCGGGAGGGGCUCGCGGUCCAUCAGCUUGUUGGCGGGGUAACGGCCCACCAAGGCUACGACGGAUAGCUGGUCUGAGAGGACGAUCAGCCACACUGGAACUGAGACACGGUCCAGACUCCUACGGGAGGCAGCAGUAGGGAAUCUUGCGCAAUGGGCGAAAGCCUGACGCAGCAACGCCGCGUGAGGGACGAAGGCUUUCUGAGUUGUAAACCUCUUUCGACAGGAACGAUUGUGACGGUACCUGUAGAAGAAGCACCGGCCAACUAUGUGCCAGCAGCCGCGGUGAUACAUAGGGUGCAAGCGUUAUUCGGAUUUAUUGGGCGUAAAGAGCUCGUAGGCGGUUCAGCAAGUCGGGUGUUAAACCCCCAGGCUCAACCUGGGGCCGCCACUCGAAACUGUUGUGACUAGAGUUUGGUAGGGGAUCACGGAAUUCCUGGUGUAGCGGUGGAAUGCGCAGAUAUCAGGAGGAACACCAGUAGCGAAGGCGGUGAUCUGGGCCAAUACUGACGCUGAGGAGCGAAAGCGUGGGGAGCGAACAGGAUUAGAUACCCCGGUAGUCC
rnacentral:rRNA from 1 species